GAUGAACGCUGGCGGCGUGCCUAAUACAUGCAAGUCGAGCGAACAGACGAGGAGCUUGCUACUCUGACGUUAGCGGCGGACGGGUGAGUAACACGUGGAUAACCUACCUAUAAGACUGGGAUAACUUCGGGAAACCGGAGCUAAUACCGGAUAAUAUAUUGAACCGCAUGGUUCAAUAGUGAAAGACGGUGUUGCUGUCACUUAUAGAUGGAUCCGCGCCGCAUUAGCUAGUUGGUAAGGUAACGGCUUACCAAGGCAACGAUGCGUAGCCGACCUGAGAGGGUGAUCGGCCACACUGGAACUGAGACACGGUCCAGACUCCUACGGGAGGCAGCAGUAGGGAAUCUUCCGCAAUGGGCGAAAGCCUGACGGAGCAACGCCGCGUGAGUGAUGAAGGUCUUCGGAUCGUAAAACUCUGUUAUUAGGGAAGAACAAAUGUGUAAGUAACUAUGCACGUCUUGACGGUACCUAAUCAGAAAGCCACGGCUAACUACGUG
rnacentral:rRNA from 1 species